rnacentral:rRNA from 1 species
AACGAACGCUGGCGGCAGGCUUAACACAUGCAAGUCGAACGCAUCGCAAGAUGAGUGGCAGACGGGUGAGUAACGCGUGGGAACAUACCCUUUUCUACGGAAUAGCUCUGGGAAACUGGAAUUAAUACCGUAUACGUCCUACGGGGGAAAGAUUUAUCGGGGAAGGAUUGGCCCGCGUUGGAUUAGCUAGUUGGUGGGGUAAAGGCCUACCAAGGCGACGAUCCAUAGCUGGUCUGAGAGGAUGAUCAGCCGCAUUGGGACUGAGACACGGCCCAAACUCCUACGGGAGGCAGCAGUGGGGAAUAUUGGACAAUGGGCGCAAGCCUGAUCCAGCCAUGCCGCGUGAGUGAUGAAGGCCUUAGGGUUGUAAAGCUCUUUCACCGAUGAAGAUAAUGACGGUAGUCGGAGAAGAAGCCCCGGCUAACUUCGUGCCAGCAGCCGCCGUAAAAC